GAUGAACGCUGACAGAAUGCUUAACACAUGCAAGUCGAUUCGAUUUACCUUCGGGUAUUGAGGAUGGCGGACGGGUGAGUAACGCGUAAGGAACUUGCCUCUUGGUCUGGGACAACUGUUGGAAACGACAGCUAAUACCGGAUAUUAUGAGAUUCUCGCAUGAGAAACUUAUGAAAGCUAUAUGCGCCAAGAGAGAGCCUUGCGUUCCAUUAGCUAGUUGGUGGGGUAACGGCCCACCAAGGCGACGAUGGAUAGCCGGCCUGAGAGGGUGAACGGCCACAAGGGGACCGAGACACGGCCCUUACUCCUACGGGAGGCAGCAGUGGGGAAUAUUGGACAAUGGACCAAAAGUCUGAUCCAGCAAUUCUGUGUGCACGAUGAAGGUCUUCGGAUUGUAAAGUGCUUUCAGUUGGGAAGAAGAAAGUGACGGUACCAACAGAAGAAGCGACGGCUAAAUACGUGCCAGCAGCCGCGGUAAUACGUAUGUCGCAAGCGUUAUCCGGAUUUAUUGGGCGUAAAGCGCGUCUAGGCGGAAAAAUAAGUCUGAUGUUAAAAUGCGGGGCUCAACUCCGUAUUGCGUUGGAAACUGUUUUUCUAGAGUACUGGAGAGGUGGGCGGAACUACNAGUGUAGAGGUGAAAUUCGUAGAUAUUUGUAGGAAUGCCGAUGGAGAANUCAGCUCACUGGACAGAUACUGACGCUAAA
rnacentral:rRNA from 1 species